rfam:Pyrenochaeta sp. DS3sAY3a unplaced genomic scaffold IQ07scaffold_3, whole genome shotgun sequence.
GGUCUAAUAGUGUAGUGGUUAUCACUCCGGAUUUUGAUUAUCAUUGUCAAAAUCCUUCCGGCAACCCAAGUUCGAAUCUUGGUUAGACCU